CAUGAAAAUUUAUAAUAGAAUUUUAUUUUUUAGUCAAAAAGCUAAAAUAUAUUUAAAAGACGAGAAGACCCUAUAAAUCUUUAUAUUUAGGUUAUUAUAAUUUUAUAGAUUUUUUUUGUUAUAAUAAUUGAUAAUAUUUUAUUGGGGUGAUAUUAAAAUUUGAUAAACUUUUAAUUGUUUAAAUCAUUAAUUUAUGAAUAAUUGAUCCGUUAUUAGUGAUUAAAAAAAUAAGUUACCUUAGGGAUAACAG
rnacentral:rRNA from 1 species